rnacentral:lncRNA from 1 species
AAAAAACACACUCAGGAAAAUCUUUACCAUGUUCGGGGAAAGAGAGUCAUAACAUGGAUUUGUCUGCCCGUGGUGGCCGAAAUACAUAUGCGGUGUGUUACACUCGGUAAAGUCUCUACCAAGUGUUACUGGCGCCUGGCAAAUUGUAUGAGGCCUUGUGUGCAACCACAGCCUCCUACCUAAGAUGAUACUAUUACUUUUAGUAGAUUUGACUCCUUCGGCUAUUGUUAAUUCAUG